rnacentral:rRNA from 1 species
AAUGAACGUUGGCGGCGUGGAUUAGGCAUGCAAGUCGUGCGAUAACCCCGCAAGGGGGGAAAGCGGCGAAAGGGAGAGUAACGCGUGGGUACCUGCCCCUUGGUCCGGAAUAGCUGCGGGAAACUGCAGGUAAUGCCGGAUAAUAUCCUCGGAUCAAAGGUGUGAUUCCGCCGAGGGAGGGGCCCGCGUUCUAUUAGCUAGUUGGUAGGGUAAUGGCCUACCAAGGCGACGAUGGAUACCGGGUGUGAGAGCAUGACCCGGCUCACUGGGACUGAGACACUGCCCAGACACCUACGGGUGGCUGCAGUCGAGAAUCUUCGGCAAUGGGCGCAAGCCUGACCGAGCGACGCCGCGUGCGGGAUGAAGGCCUUCGGGUUGUAAACCGCUGUCGUAGAGGAGGAAAUGCCAUGGGGUUCUCUCCAUGGUUUGACCUAUUCUAGGAGGAAGGACGGGCUAAGUUCGUGCCAGCCGCCGCCGUAA